rnacentral:rRNA from 1 species
CCUACGGGUGGCAGCAGUGGGGAAUAUUGGACAAUGGGCGAAAGCCUGAUCCAGCCAUGCCGCGUGUGUGAAGAAGGCCUUCGGGUUGUAAAGCACUUUCAGUGGGGAAGAAAGCCUUGGGGCUAAUACCCUCGAGGAAGGACAUCACCCACAGAAGAAGCACCGGCUAACUCCGUGCCAGCAGCCGCGGUAAUACGGAGGGUGCGAGCGUUAAUCGGAAUUACUGGGCGUAAAGCGCGCGUAGGCGGUCUGAUAAGCCGGUUGUGAAAGCCCCGGGCUCAACCUGGGAACGGCAUCCGGAACUGUCAGGCUAGAGUGCAGGAGAGGAAGGUAGAAUUCCCGGUGUAGCGGUGAAAUGCGUAGAGAUCGGGAGGAAUACCAGUGGCGAAGGCGGCCUUCUGGACUGACACUGACGCUGAGGUGCGAAAGCGUGGGUAGCAAACAGGAUUAGAUCCCCUUGUAGUC